UUGGCUAGAGUUCCAUAACUUAAAAAUUCCAAAAAAAAAGAAACGAGAGAGUGUUUAUAAUCGUAGAAUUGGGAAACUUCUCUCGAUUUGUUUCUUCUGCUGAUCUGCUCUUUGUUCGCUGAGAAUUCUAGCCCUAUCAAUUUUUAUUCUUAUUUUAUCCCGAUUGCUUUGUCUAAUUGAUUUUUCUGUUGAUACUCGACUCUCUCGAAACUCUGGCACUCAAGGUUGAUCAUGCAGUGUAAAACAAAAGUCAUGGUGGAUAGCUGUAGCUGCACUUCAGAGCCUCUCAUAUUCUCAUGGAUCGAUAGAGGUCAGUCUCUCAAAAGCUGUAAUCAAAAUCUUGGGUUUCAAGAGAGACAAGUUUUCUGUUCGAUUUCUCCAAUAGCAGAACGUCCUAGUCGUUGAUUUCACAGGGGCAUAAUGCUUAUUCUUCUGUAAUCAUCAAGCAAAUUAUAGAUAAAGCUCAGAGUUAUUCAGGUAUCAAUAAUCCUAUUAGUACUGGUGUCAAGGAAUCUGUUGCAUUCUGUACGGCUGCUGCCAAUUGCAAGGAAUGUGGGAUUUUGACAGAUGGAGGUAUCACAAUUGAAGAUCCAAUAUUGGGGAAAAGAGUUUGGAAGAAUCAGAAAAACUAAAUCUAAAAAUCCAGGUGAUGAUGGCUCGAUCUUCUCACAUUUGGCUAAGUUGUUUCCGGGACUGUGGAUGGUUAAAAGAGGUUACAUUAGUUCAAGCAUGCUAACGAAUCUAAAAGAGGUAAAUAGUAUACAGUGGAUGGUAGCAUUUACGGUUUAUCUUGAUUGAGUGGAGUUUCAUGAUGCGGAGAAGAAGACAUUUGAGUUUAUCUAAAAGAGGUUUUGAGUAUAACAGUGGAAAAGAAGAUUGAUUAGCAUAUGGAGAAGCUUGGGCUUUGGUUUUGAUCAGAAAUUUUGGUUUAUAAGAGCCGUGGUUUGGUUUUCUUGGUUUGGUGGUGGAGAAACAUAUAAAUGUAGAGAAGAAAACCGAAUAGCAUCUGAAGAAGCAUCGGGCGAAGAAUGAAAACCCUGUCUUCAAUCACUGCCCACACUAAAAUCUCUCUCUGAAAAGGAUAGAGUCCAUGGUAAGUGUGACAGUUUUUCUAUUUGUGUUAAAAACGGUGAUGCUGCAAGUUCUAGAAUGAACUGGUGUGUGAAAUAUGUGAAAAAAAUCUACAAAAAAAAUAAUAUAUCGUUCUUAUCGUCACGAGCAAUUAAUGCACUGCCUUAUUAUCAAUUUUGCGCGGAUGGGUUCAUUGAUUAGCUAUAACCAGUUAACAACUGAGCAGUGUUAAUCGAUUUUUGUUUCCCAGAACAAGUGUUACAGUUUAUGGGAUUUAGCAAAGGUGUUACAGUUUAGCUCUUUGUUGUUGGCUUUCAUAGCUUCUCAGUGACUUAAAAUGGCUUUACAUAGCUUAUUAUAGUCGCAACACGGGCACGUACCAUAAGGGAAUGCUUGAUAUGAUCCAAAUCAACAAACCAUCCUCUAAGGUCAGUGGUGGUGGUUCUUAAUUAACAUUAGACGUUUCUGUAUGUAUAACAAUACAGUUCAAGAGUACAGUACAUUUUGUUUUAAUGGAUUACAUGGAUUAUAAAAAUUGAAAAUAA